rnacentral:tRNA from 1 species
CCCGCGAUAGCUCACUUGAUAGAGCAUCUGCCCGGUGAGCAGAGUGUCAUCGGGUCGAUUCCGGCUCGCGGCG